rnacentral:rRNA from 1 species
GUGAAAAGCACCCCGGAAGGGGAGUGAAAUAGAACCUGAAACCGUGUGCUUACAAGUAGUCAGAGCCCGUUAAUGGGUGAUGGCGUGCCUUUUGUAGAAUGAACCGGCGAGUUACGAUUUGAUGCAAGGUUAAGCAGUAAAUGUGGAGCCGUAGCGAAAGCGAGUCUGAAUAGGGCGUUUAGUAUUUGGUCGUAGACCCGAAACCAGGUGAUCUACCCUUGGUCAGGUUGAAGUUCAGGUAACACUGAAUGGAGGACCGAACCGACUUACGUUGAAAAGUGAGCGGAUGAACUGAGGGUAGCGGAGAAAUUCCAAUCGAACCUGGAGAUAGCUGGUUCUCUCCGAAAUAGCUUUAGGGCUAGCCUCAAGUGAUGAUUAUUGGAGGUAGAGCACUGUUUGGACGAGGGGCCCCUCUCGGGUUACCGAAUUCAGACAAACUCCGAAUGCCAAUUAAUUUAACUUGGGAGUCAGAACAUGGGUGAUAAGGUCCGUGUUCGAAAGGGAAACAGCCCAGACCACCAGCUAAGGUCCCAAAAUAUAUGUUAAGUGGAAAAGGAUGUGGCGUUGCCCAGACAACUAGGAUGUUGGCUUAGAAGCAGCCAUCAUUUAAAGAGUGCGUAAUAGCUCACUAGUCGAGUGACACUGCGCCGAAAAUGUACCGGGGCUAAACAUAUUACCGAAGCUGUGGAUUGUCCUUUGGACAAUGGUAGGAGAGCGUUCUAAGGGCGUUGAAGCAUGAUCGUAAGGACAUGUGGAGCGCUUAGAAGUGAGAAUGCCGGUGUGAGUAGCGAAAGACGGGUGAGAAUCCCGUCCACCGAUUGACUAAGGUUUCCAGAGGAAGGCUCGUCCGCUCUGGGUUAGUCGGGUCCUAAGCUGAGGCCGACAGGCGUAGGCGAUGGAUAACAGGUUGAUAUUCCUGUACCACCUAUAAUCGUUUUAAUCGAUGGGGGGACGCAGUAGGAUAGGCGAAGCGUGCGAUUGGAUUGCACGUCUAAGCAGUAAGGCUGAGUAUUAGGCAAAUCCGGUACUCGUUAAGGCUGAGCUGUGAUGGGGAGAAGACAUUGUGUCUUCGAGUCGUUGAUUUCACACUGCCGAGAAAAGCCUCUAGAUAGAAAAUAGGUGCCCGUACCGCAAACCGACACAGGUAGUCAAGAUGAGAAUUCUAAGGUGAGCGAGCGAACUCUCGUUAAGGAACUCGGCAAAAUGACCCCGUAACUUCGGGAGAAGGGGUGCUCUUUAGGGUUAACGCCCAGAAGAGCCGCAGUGAAUAGGCCCAAGCGACUGUUUAUCAAAAACACAGGUCUCUGCUAAACCGUAAGGUGAUGUAUAGGGGCUGACGCCUGCCCGGUGCUGGAAGGUUAAGAGGAGUGGUUAGCUUCUGCGAAGCUACGAAUCGAAGCCCCAGUAAACGGCGGCCGUAACUAUAACGGUCCUAAGGUAGCGAAAUUCCUUGUCGGGUAAGUUCCGACCCGCACGAAAGGCGUAACGAUUUGGGCACUGUCUCAACGAGAGACUCGGUGAAAUCAUAGUACCUGUGAAGAUGCAGGUUACCCGCGACAGGACGGAAAGACCCCGUGGAGCUUUACUGUAGCCUGAUAUUGAAAUUCGGCACAGCUUGUACAGGAUAGGUAGGAGCCUUUGAAACGUGAGCGCUAGCUUACGUGGAGGCGCUGGUGGGAUACUACCCUAGCUGUGUUGGCUUUCUAACCCGCACCACUUAUCGUGGUGGGAGACAGUGUCAGGCGGGCAGUUUGACUGGGGCGGUCGCCUCCUAAAAGGUAACGGAGGCGCUCAAAGGUUCCCUCAGAAUGGUUGGAAAUCAUUCAUAGAGUGUAAAGGCAUAAGGGAGCUUGACUGCGAGACCUACAAGUCGAG